GAUGAACGCUAGCGAUAGGCUUAACACAUGCAAGUCGAGGGGCAGCAUGGUCUUAGCUUGCUAAGAUUGAUGGCGACCGGCGCACGGGUGCGUAACGCGUAUGCAACUUGCCUCACAGAGGGGGAUAACCCGUCGAAAGACGGACUAAUACCGCGUACACUCUAUGUUGGGCAUCCAAUGUAGAGGAAAUGAAAUUCGCUGUGAGAUAGGCAUGCGUCCCAUUAGCUAGUUGGUGAGGUAACGGCUCACCAAGGCGACGAUGGGUAGGGGAACUGAGAGGUUGAACCCCCACACUGGUACUGAGACACGGACCAGACUCCUACGGGAGGCAGCAGUGAGGAAUAUUGGUCAAUGGGCGAGAGCCUGAACCAGCCAAGUCGCGUGAAGGAUGACUGUCUUAUGGAUUGUAAACUUCUUUUAUACGGGAAUAACAAGAGCCACGUGUGGCUCCCUGCAUGUACCGUAUGAAUAAGCACCGGCUAACUACGUGCCAGCAGCCGCGGUAAUACGGAAGGUCCGGGCGUUAUCCGGAUUUAUUGGGUUUAAAGGGAGCGUAGGCUGGAGAUUAAGUGUGUUGUGAAAUGUAGACGCUCAACGUCUGACUUGCAGCGCAUACUGGUUUCCUUGAGUACGCACAACGUUGGCGGAAUUCGUCGUGUAGCGGUGAAAUGCUUAGAUAUGACGAAGAACUCCGAUUGCGAAGGCAGCUGACAGGAGCGCAACUGACGCUGAAGCUCGAAAGUGCGGGUAUCGAACAGG
rnacentral:rRNA from 1 species